rnacentral:tRNA from 1 species
AAAAGUUUAGUUAAAUAAAUAACAUUAGUUUGUCAAGCUAAAAUUAUUAAUAAUUGAUAAUUUUUA